rnacentral:rRNA from 1 species
CCCCAGCGCCACAAGUGGUGAUCGGUUUUAUUGGGCCUAAAGCAUCCGUAGCUGGCUUGACAAGUCUCUUGUGAAAUCGAGGGGCUUAACUCAUCGGAAUGCAGGAGAUACUGUUGAGCUUGGGACCGGGAGGAGUGAGAGGAAUUUUAGGGGAAGCGGUAAAAUGCUAUAAUCCCUAAAAGACCACCGAUGGCGAAGGCAUCUCACCAGAACGGAUCCGACAGUGAGGGAUGAAAGCUAGGGGAGCAAA